AUUGAACGCUGGCGGCAGGCCUAACACAUGCAAGUCGAGCGGAUGAAGGGAGCUUGCUCCUGGAUUCAGCGGCGGACGGGUGAGUAAUGCCUAGGAAUCUGCCUGGUAGUGGGGGAUAACGUCCGGAAACGGGCGCUAAUACCGCAUACGUCCUGAGGGAGAAAGUGGGGGAUCUUCGGACCUCACGCUAUCAGAUGAGCCUAGGUCGGAUUAGCUAGUUGGUGGGGUAAAGGCCUACCAAGGCGACGAUUCGUAACUGGUCUGAGAGGAUGAUCAGUCGCACUGGAACUGAGACACAGUCCAGACUCCUACGGGAGGCAGCAGUGGGGAAUAUUGGACAAUGGGCGAAAGCCUGAUCCAGCCAUGCCGCGUGUGUGAAGAAGGUCUUCGGAUUGUAAAGCACUUUAAGUUGGGAGGAAGGGCAGUAAGUUAAUACCUUGCUGUUUUGACGUUACCAACAGAAUAAGCACCGGCUAACUUCGUG
rnacentral:rRNA from 1 species